AAAAACCACCAAGUCUUGGUGGCUGCACAGCAGCAGAUUAUAUUAUGCUUAGCUAGUGCGUGGGUGCAGAGAACAAGGGACAGAGACUGUCUCCCUCAGUACACGCUCCCCACAGCCCCAGACUUAGGCGGAAUAGAGAGGCAACGUUUCAACCUCAAAGCCACAAACAGAUCAGGAUACACUGGAGGACGGCGAGACAGAUUUCUCUUUUUUUAAUAAAAGGGAGAAAGAAAAUACCCUCUGGAUGCUGUAGAAAUAGGACUCACACUCAGAGAGCAUUUCAUUAGUUCAACAGUGGUACGGCUGGGUAUGGGAUCCUCGGUCUGCAGAGGAUAACAUCUGUAGCUGGAUGCUCUGAUUCACAAUUUGUGAAGACGCCAGAUUUUUCAGGCUUAAAAAUCAGCUACUAAAAAGACAGACUAAUUUCACCACCAUUACUCACCCUGAGCACAGACUUUCUAUUCAGAGCGGCCCCUCUAAAUCAAAGGCAGCAGUGCGAGGACUACGCGCAGAUCGAGGACGGGAAGGAAAAACCCCCAUUUGCAGCCCUGCUAAGCACCAGGGGCACUAGGGUGGGUUCAAGUCCCUGCUCUGCCACAUCACUCAGGACUGGAUUUGCCAAGAAGCAUGUCUAGGGGCAUUUUCAAAAAUGCCUAGCUACCAGAUAUGAGAGUAAGGCAUCUGAGUAAGACCCCCCCUGUACCACUGGAAACCUGACUGCUUUAGCAGUUUCCAUGCCAAUUCCCGAUAGGCAGAUCUGGGAUGAUAACAUUUUUCUCCAUGCCAAGGUAUAUAUGAUAAAGAGAAAGGCACUGGGAUGUGCUCACAUGCCCACAGCAAGGAAGAAAGUUAAAAAAAGAGCAGAAAAUCUGCUUUGUCCUAUAUUUCUAAAUACUGCAGUCUACAUUUAGGCAACGGUCCAUUACCUUGACUCUGCUGCACAGCAGGAUUUUGCUUGAGCAAGGAACACAGAAUCCCACCCUCAUUCUGGAAGAGUGAAGACUGAAGGAAACACUUUGUACAAGUUUAUAAUCAUGGUCAAGUGUGUCCCAACUUUUCAUCAGCUGUAUGUGUAACAAUUAGUCCAGGACCUUAAAUCUGUUAGCCUCCAGAGACAGAAGAGUACCUAUGCAUAUAAAAAACAUAUGAUAUUUCUAUCACCAGCUGUUCAGCUCUACCCUUUCAUCAUGUUCCUGCCCAACAGAAGGUAUGUGCAAAAAAUACAGAGGGGAAAGGAAAAGGACUUCCAGAGGAAUAAUGUAAAACAGAGGAAACUGAGAAACAAGCCUACUCUGCACCUAUAAUUUUGAAUUUUAAGAUCAUUCAGACCUCUCUUUAACCUUUUUUGCCACAUCCAGGUCAAUAUUUUACUGGCAUGAAAACUUGCAGAAAAUGUACUUUAAUCUUGUUGUUCUGAAGAAUUAGAGACAGUAUCCAACCUAUUCGCUCAGGAUUAUGGAAGCCAGCCGUGCUAUGAAUUGUCCCAGCUAGGUCAUAAACAAGACCUUGAAAGUCCUGUUGCCUAAUUGUGAAUUAGCAAUUAAGAAGCCUGGUGACAAUCACAGAAUGGCUCAUAAGCAAUAUACAGAGGAAUGAGCUAUGAAAGACAGCUUUCUAAAAUACAUAAAGUAAUAAAUGAGAGAAAACUAUGACCACCUCA